AACGAACGCUGGCGGCGUGCCUAACACAUGCAAGUCGAACGAGAAAGGGGCUUCGGCUCCGAGUAAAGUGGCGCACGGGUGAGUAACACGUGGGUAACCUGCCUCUAAGAUUGGGAUAACUCGUCGAAAGAUGAGCUAAUACCGAAUAAGACCACAGUUCCCGCGGGAACAGGGGUCAAAGGUAGCCUCUGCUUGCAAGCUAUCACUUAGAGAUGGGCCUGCGCACCAUUAGCUAGUUGGUAGGGUAACGGCCUACCAAGGCAAAGAUGGUUAGCUGGUCUGAGAGGAUGAUCAGCCACACUGGAACUGAGACACGGUCCAGACUCCUACGGGAGGCAGCAGUGGGGAAUAUUGCGCAAUGGGCGAAAGCUUGACGCAGCAACGCCGCGUGAGUGAUGAAGGCCUUCGGGUCGUAAAGCUCUGUCGGGAGGAACGAAUGCGCCUGAGGUUAACAGCCUCGGGAGGUGACGGUACCGUCAAAGGAAGCACCGGCUAACUCUGU
rnacentral:rRNA from 1 species